GACAGAGGUGGCGAGCGUUGUUCGGAAUUACUGGGCUUAAAGGGCGAGUAGGCGGUAGGGCAAGUCCAAGGUGGAAUCCUAUGGCUCAACCAUAGAAUUGCCUUGGAACCUGUUUUACUUGAGUCAGUGAGGGGAGGGCGGAAUUCCUGGUGUAGCGGUGAAAUGCGUAGAUAUCAGGAGGAAGGCCUGUGGCGAAGGCGGCCCUCUGGCACUGGACUGACGCUGAGGCGCGAAAGCGUGGGGAGCAAACAGG
rnacentral:rRNA from 1 species